CGUGAGUUUUUAAUUUAAAAUGUCUUAACUUAACUCGGAAGGAUCUGAAUGACAGGUCAUUUCAUCUGAGAUCAUUCCGCAUGUAACAGCCGGAAUCACUCACUGUUUCCCACAACGACACGAGUCAUCAGCCGUUUCCUCAAGGUCACGUCAGAGGGGUGGUGAUGUGGAGAGGCAGACCAGACCACCACCAUACGCGAAGAUGAGCCUCGAGGCUUGACAGUUAUUUUUUCAAACUGAGGAGUUCGGACUCCGGACCGUCAUUUCUGCUUGUUUGUACCCUGAGGUAAGUAAACUUUCUACAUUUUUGAAACGAUAUUACUGAAAUAUUUAGUAUAAUUAGUUAAUAUUUAUUUUGUUAGAGUAGGUCUUGUGCUAAAUAGUGAUACUAGAAGCUACAUUUAUAAUAUUUACCUCAGUUAAAAAAUACUGCUGGUAACGUUAAAGCACUGACGGGCUUCGUCAACCGUCAGUUAUAAAAGCUCUGUUAAAUACAUUUUGUUCCUGGUUUUAAUGAAUUACGUUACAGUCCUGCUUUAUUUCUUUGUCAUUUUCAAUUAAAUUGCCAAGCACAAUAAGACAGCUGUGUUGUAAGGAGACGAAAUUCGAGACAGGGGUGUUAUUUCAAUGAAGCGCGUGGUCAAAGGAACCGGGUGGAAGACGGUGGAAGGGAAAUUAUAUGUAAAUGUUUGUCGCAGUUUUACACAUAUUCCGUGAGUAUUUUUCGCUUGUUCACGAGUGUUUUAUCAGGGUUGGAGCUAAACCUUGAAGGAAAGUGGAAACUGCUGGCCACAGUUAAGAACUUUCUGCUGGUCUGUAUUAUAAAUGCACGAUUGCAGUGCAGCGUUUGUAUCCGCAAGUCUAGAUAUGCAUGUUUUCUGUGAUGCACACAAUUAAUUAAUGUGAUGGUAGCUGUUAAGACACUUACAUUUAACAUUCAAAUGUUUUAAAAACCAAACGUGUUCAGGUUUUUAUGUGUAUUUGGUUUGUGAAGUGUAAUUUUUUUUCCUCUCCCUCACAGAUAACCAUGGUUAAUAAAUGGUCAGACACGUCAUUGUCUUAAAAUAUAAACCCCAUUGAUGCAAAAAGAUGCUGCAUGGAAUGACAAUGUGGUUUGGAACAGACUUGGUGAAGAACAUGGAAACAUCUCUUAAUAAAAUGGCCCCAAACAUCAUCAGGAGUGCAAAAGAAGGAAGUAAAAACAUCUCUAUGCCAAUCUCAUUGGAGAGGAAACCACAGAAGGUCUGGUGAGGAAUGCUGCACUUAUGUUAUUGCAAGCAUUAUUUCAAGAAAAUCCCAGCUUCCUUUACUGUGUAAAUAGUGAACCCAAAGGUCCCACACCAACCAUAGUGUUCAACGGCUCUCCUGAUCUUUUCAAAUCUGAAUGUAUCAACUUUAUAAUGGACAAUGUGAACUUAAUAUGUGGAAGACAUUGACAUCACAGGCUGUGGAAUGACUGUGUCACAGGUCGGAGAAGCGGACCGCCCCUGUCGCGGAUCACGCUCCUCCUAGUUCCACCUCGAGGAGGUCCCAAAGCACCCCAAUGACCAGACAAACCAGAGGGGGAGUAUUACGGGGCCAGGGACGUUGGAGGGGUUUCCACGUGACUCCAGCUGGAACACCGCUACAGAGCGUAUCUGGGUGGGUUGGGCACACACCGUCGCGGCGGCCCCUGAUGGCAUCCACAAGGGUCCAAGACCCUCCUAAGCUCCUAGCCAUAGCAGAACUACGUAUUUCAGCACCCGAAGGACUAACAACCCAGCCGGCAUCUGCAGCGUAUAUCCAACGCGAUCAAACUUCACUCUGACAAGUAACUUCCUAUACACAACCACGCCGUCCUUUCGCCCGGACCAGCCCCGCACUCUUUCCGCCCGCUACCUAGCGGUCGCCGGAUCAGCAGAGCCUGCGGACUCUUCGGAGGCUGGUCUUCUUUGUGCUGCCCAAGGCGGAAGUUGACUCGCCCGAAAAUCGACCCUUCCAGUAACUUCUACCUUCUCUCUUUAUAUCCUCCUCCCAGGCGUGGCUCGCCCAACCAUCGCUCGCCACGUCACUCACACAGCUGUGCCUUGUUUCAGCGAGUGCGGGGAUUCCCGGGGAACCCUGAAGUGCCGGUGUCUGUACAAACCGGUCCGGGCGGAACCUCUUCACUCUCCUUUUGGUUCCGCCCCGCAUAGUCACUCCGUGACAACUGUUUGCGUUUUUUUUUCUCCUCAAUGUUCAAUACCCUUUUGCCAUUAAGCACACAGUGACUUUAAUUUAUAAAAUAUAUGCUUAAGUUUUAAUACCUGUACAAAACAAAUGUACAAUCAACUUAAAUUGUCAUUCUAUUUAAUAGAUUGUUCAUGAAUUGUCUUUAAAUGCAUUGUGAUUUCGGUAACACUUUACAAUAAAGUUCAUUAGUUAACAUUAGUUAAUGUAUUAACUAACUUGAACAAACCAUAAGCAAUACAUUUGUUACAGUAUUUAUUCAUCUUUGUUAAUGUUAGUUAAUAAAAAUUUAAGCUUUAAUUGCUUGUUCAUGUUAGUUCAGAGUGCAUUAACUAAUGUUAACAAGAUUUUAAUAAAGUAAUUGUUGAAAUUAACAUUAACAAAGAUUAAUAAAGGCUGUAUAAGUGUAGUUCAUUAUUAGUUUAUGUUAACUAAUGUAGCUAACUAAUGUUAACUAAUGAACCUUAUUGUAAAGUGUUACCGUGAUUUCUUUUCAUCAUUUCAGACACAUGUAAAAGUUACUAAAAAUUAAUACUGCAUAUACUGUACAGUAUCUAUGCGUAAGGGAAAUAACUUAAACAAAAUUUUUAAUGUAUAGUGUAAUUAAGAGUUUAGCUGUUUAAUACAGAGAUGCAAUUUAUUUAUAUAUAUUAUUUAUAUAUAAACGUAUGUAUGUUUAUUAAAAAGUGAAAAUGCUUAAUGGAAAUAAUUAAAUAACUAAAUGGUUGAAUGUAAUGAGACAUUUUAAAUGUAAACUAAAGUUUUGCUGUCUAAUACAGAAUAAAGAGAUGUGAUUUUAAGUAA